rnacentral:rRNA from 1 species
GGAAUAUUGCACAAUGAGGGAAACCUUGAUGCAGCCAUGCCGCGUGUGUGAAGAAGGCCCGAGGGUUGUAAAGCACUUUCAAUUGUGAGGAAGAUUAAGUAGCUAAUAUCUGCUUAAUUUGACGUUAACUUUAGAAGAAGCACCGGCUAACUCUGUGCCAGCAGCCGCGGUAAUACAGAGGGUGCAAGCGUUAUUCGGAAUUACUGGGCGUAAAGCGCGCGUAGGCGGACUGUUAAGUCGGUUGUGAAAGCCCUGGGCUCAACCUAGGAACUGCAUCCGAUACUGGCAAUCUAGAGUUUAAGAGAGGGAAGUGGAAUUCCAGGUGUAGCAGUGAAAUGCGUAGAUAUCUGGAGGAACAUCAGUGGCGAAGGCGACUUCCUGGCUUAAAACUGACGCUGAGGUGCGAAAGCUUGGGUAGCGAACGGGAUUAGAUACCCCGGUAGUCCAAGCCGUAAACGAUGUCAACUAGCUGUUGGUCUUAUUAAAAAGAUUAGUAGCGUAGCUAACGCGAUAAGUUGACCGCCUGGGGAGUACGGUCGCAAGAUUAAAACUCAAAGGAAUUGACGGGGGCCCGCACAAGCGGUGGAGCAUGUGGUUUAAUUCGAUGCAACGCGAAGAACCUUACCAUCCCUUGACAUCCUGCGAACUUUCUAGAGAUAGAUUGGUGCCUUCGGGAACGCAGUGACAGGUGCUGCAUGGCUGUCGUCAGCUCGUGUCGUGAGAUGUUGGGUUAAGUCCCGCAACGAGCGCAACCCUUAUCAUUAGUUGCUAACAUUUAGUUGAGAACUCUAAUGAGACUGCCGGUGAUAAACCGGAGGAAGGCGGGGACGACGUCAAGUCAUCAUGGCCCUUAUGGGAUGGGCUACACACGUGCUACAAUGGGGGGUACAAAGAGCAGCCAACUGGCGACAGUGCGCGAAUCUCAUAAAACCUCUCGUAGUCCGGAUCGGAGUCUGCAACUCGACUCCGUGAAGUCGGAAUCGCUAGUAAUCGUGAAUCAGAAUGUCACUGUGAAUACGU